rnacentral:lncRNA from 1 species
CUCUUCGCUCCUAAAGCAUGUUCAACUCCUGCCUUGCUGUACUGUCCUCAACAGUUUUGUACCACACAGGCUUGAUUUCUCUACUUGAAAGUGCUGACUCCAUCUGUGUCACCACGGGGAAGAGGACGAGCAGAAACCAGACUGGCCCCAUCGAACAUCAAACACUUGACCAAGGUUGCAUAUUGGAGCUCAGUGUCCCAAAGCACUGCCUUUCGGUCAUGAGGAUCUGUGAGCUGCAAGCACCCACCCACCCUCCUGCUUCAAGGAGAGAGC